AUUGCCAUCAUUCAGUUGGGCACUCUAGCGAGACUGCCGGUAAUAAACCGGAGGAAGGUGGGGAUGACGUCAAAUCAUCAUGUCCCUUAUGACCUGGGCUACACACGUGCUACAAUGGUUGGUACAACGAGUUGCGAGCCGGUGACGGCGAGCUAAUCUCUUAAAGCCAAUCUCAGUUCGGAUUGUAGGCUGCAACUCGCCUACAUGAAGUCGGAAUCGCUAGUAAUCGCGGAUCAGCACGCCGCGGUCGAAUACGUUCCCGGGCCUU
rnacentral:rRNA from 1 species